rnacentral:misc_RNA from 1 species
GAAAUGCGAUAAUUAAUGUGAAUUGCAGAAUUCAGUGAAUCAUCGAGUCUUUGAACGCACAUUUCGCCCCCUGGUAUUCCGGGGGCAUGCCUGUCCGAGCGUCAUUGCUGCCCUCAAGCACGGCUUGUGUGUUGGGCUUCCGUCCCUGGCAACGGGGACGGGCCCAAAAGGCAGUGGCGGCACCAUGUCUGGUCCUCGAGCGUAUGGGGCUUUGUCACCCGCUCCCGUAGGUCCAGCUGGCAGCUAGCCUCGCAACCAAUCUUUUUAACCAGGUUGACCUCGGAUCAGGUAGGGAUACCCGCUGAACUUAAGC